rnacentral:rRNA from 1 species
UACGGAGGGUGCAAGCGUUAUCCGGAUUUACUGGGCGUAAAGCGCGUGUAGGCGGCCUUGCAAGUCGGAUGUGAAAGCCCACGGCUCAACCGUGGAAGUGCAUCCGAAACUGCAUAGCUUGAGUCUCGGAGAGGAAGGUGGAAUGCUUGGUGUAGAGGUGAAAUUCGUAGAUAUCAAGCAGAACACCUGCGGCGAAGGCGGCCUUCUGGACGAUGACUGACGCUGAGACGCGAAAGCGUGGGGAGCAAACAGG